ACGGAAGGCAGCAGUGGGGGAUAUUGCACAAUGGAGGAAACUCUGAUGCAGCAACGCCGCGUGAGGGAAGAAGGUCUUCGGAUUGUAAACCUCUGUUUUUGGUGAAGAAUAACUGACGGUAGCCAAAGAGGAAGCCACGGCUAACUACGUGCCAGCAGCCGCGGUAAUACGUAGGUGGCAAGCGUUGUCCGGAUUUACUGGGUGUAAAGGGUGCGCAGGCGGGACUGCAAGUUGGAUGUGAAAUACCGAGGCUCAACCUCGGAGCUGCAUCCAAAACUGUAGUUCUUGAGUGGAGUAGAGGUAAGCGGAAUUCCGAGUGUAGCGGUGAAAUGCGUAGAUAUUCGGAGGAACACCAGUGGCGAAGGCGGCUUACUGGGCUCUAACUGACGCUGAGGCACGAAAGUGUGGGUAGCAAACAGGAUUAGAUACCCUGGUA
rnacentral:rRNA from 1 species